CAGCAGCCGCGGUAAUACGUAAGUGGCAAGCGUUGUCCGGAAUUAUUGGGCGUAAAGGGCUCGCAGGCGGUUCCUUAAGUCUGAUGUGAAAGCCCCCGGCUCAACCGGGGAGGGUCAUUGGAAACUGGGAAACUUGAGUGCAGAAGAGGAGAGUGGAAUUCCACGUGUAGCGGUGAAAUGCGUAGAGAUGUGGAGGAACACCAGUGGCGAAGGCGACUCUCUGGUCUGUAACUGACGCUGAGGAGCGAAAGCGUGGGGAGCGAACAGGAUUAGAUACCCGAGUAGUCCCUGUCUCUUAUAA
rnacentral:rRNA from 1 species